AUCUAAUAUAUUAUAUAAGUAAAUAAAAAGUUAUUUUGGCUGUCUAGGACAUUAGUAAAUUAGUAAUGUAGUAUCUAUACACUAAGUCUUUCUAUAAUCUUUUUGUAUAAUCUUUUUUGUAAUCAAAUUUUGUUAUUGAUGUUUAUUUUAGUACUUCUUCCUUGCCACAUUUUUAGGGACAUUUUCCUUGCCACUGUGGCCUCUGGCUUGCUCAUUAGGGAUAAAUUUCAUACUUAUAACUUAAAAUGCAAUGUAAUUUGAAAUCCAAAUAAAAUGAAACUCAGUAAUGGCAUGACGACAGUUGAGUAUUGUCCCAAAGAAGAGAUGUUGGCAGGCAUUACGUAAGUCCAAUUUUGGUAGCUCCUAGCUUCCUGGUUUGCUACACUACUUCCAGCCUUGUUCAUAUUCUGUCCUGCCUGGUUUGACUCUGUUUGUUUCUGGUUUCUGUGUUUUUGCCUGCCCUGUAUUACCUUGCCUGCCUGUGUACCGGAUUAUUUGACUGUUUUUCACUCUGUGUUUUGCCUGCCCUGUAUUCUUUGUCUGCCUCUGUACUGGAUUACAGACUGGUCUUUACACUGAGUGUCUGCCUGCCUUGCCUGAUUAUUUUGUCAAUCUCAUUAAAGACUUUUUAUUAUUUACAUCAGCGUCCUGCAUUUGAGUCCUCUCUUCCGGCCCACCCUGACAGUAUUAUCUGGCCAGUUAUGGACUCAACAGACACACCAGACCUGACGACCCGCCUCGGGAACCUGGCUCAGACCACUGCGACCCAUGAUAAAAAGAUAACUUACCUUAUGAAGGCCAACAAUGAACUCAUCCACCGGCUUAGUGCUCUCUCCAGUUCAGUCACCUCUGCACCUGUGACUCCAGCCUGGGAGCCACAUCUGCCUCACCCUGAGCAUUCCUCCAGAGAACCAGGAAUGUGACGGCCAUUCCUUAUGCAGUGUGCAGUCAUAUUCGAGUUGCAGCCCUCUGUUUUCCCAUCAGAUCACUCCAAGGUGGCUUAUGUUAUCUCACUGCUGACCGGCAAGGCCAGACAGUGGGCAACCACCGAGUCAACUCUCUGUCUUUCCUAUGAAGCGUUCAGCAGAGAGCUUCGCAAGAUUUUCGACCUCAUCACUCCCUAACAAGAUGCCGCACGGUCACUCUUCGAGACAUCUCACUGCAAUCACUCUAUAGCUGAAUAUGCAGGGGACUUUCGGACAGCUGCGGGGGAUAGUGGAUGGGGCUCUAUUGCUUUGUAUGACGCCUUCUACAGAGGUUUGGCAGCUGAGGUCAAGGACCAGCUCCCCGCUUGCGAACGAACAGGUACCUCCUGAACUAGACGAUCUGAUCACACUGGCUACUCAUGUAUCCAUAUCCGUAUCUCGUAUCCGAGAGCGCCGCUCCGAAAGGGUUUCCCACCGCUCAUGGUAUCCCAGCGCCCGUCCUCCCACUCCAUUCUCCGCCUAGAGAUUUGCAUUACAAGGGACAGUUUCUGGAGAUUUCGGUCCCGUUCAGGCCAUGGAAAUUGGCUGGCAACACCUUUCACCCACAGAACAGGAAGCAUGGCAUUCCCAAGGACUUUGAAUCUACUGUGGGGAGUCUGGUCACAUGGCUGCUUCAUGUCCAGCAAAAGGCAGGGCUCGCCUUUGAAGGAAGGGCUAGCAGUGAGCCUACAAUCUCCAGCUCCCCCCAAACCACUUCUCAAGAUUCGCAUCUCUGUUAACUAUCAAGACCAUUUGCCUAGCAGCCUUCAUUGACUCUGGAGCGGAUUCAGAGUUUCUGGAUGAGGAAUUGGCCAAACAGCUGGGAAUCGAGACUGAGCCCUUGCCGUCUGUUCUCCAAGUCUGGGAGCUGGAUGGCCACAUUUUACAUAAGGUCUCACGUCAAAUCCAACUUGUACGCCUGACGGUUGCCACUCACCACGAGUGGAUAACAUUCCUGAUAAUUCCAUUGCCGCAAGCGCCCAUUAUGCUGGGAUUCCCCUGGCUUCAGAAACACAAUCCCCACCUGGACUGGACCAGUGGCCGCGUCUUGGACUAAGGAACACACUGCCACAUUCACUGCCUUGAAUCAAACCCCACACUCAGCAUCCAGUCACUGAGGAACCUCCACCAGACCUCAGUUCUGUGCCUCUGGACUACCAUGACAUAUGCAAGACCAGAGCCUCUGUCCUCCCUCCUCACCGGUCCUAUGACUGCACCACUGACAUCCUGCCUGGAAAUACUCCCCCCGUGGUCAUCUUUACCACCUGAACGGACCCGAGAGAGAAAGGCUAUGGCACAGUACAUCCAGGUUUCUCUCAAGGCUGGCAUCAUUCAUCCCUAUUCAUCUCCAGCGGGGGCAGAGUUUUUCUUUGUGGGGAAAAAGGAUCGUUCGCUCCGCCCUUGUAUUGAUUACUGAGGGCUUAAUGCCAUUACCAUUAAGAACCGGUACACCCUGCCUGUCUUGACCUCUGCCUUUGAACUCCUCCAGGGAGCUACCAAAAUUGGACUUACGUAAUGCCUACCACCUUAUCCGUAUUCUGGAGGGAGACGAGUGGAAGACGACUUUCAAUACCCCUUCGGGUCACUAUGAAUAUCUGGUCAUGCCGUUUGGCCUGACCAGUGCGCCAGCGGUCUUCCAGGCCUUGGUCAAUGAUGUACUGCAAGACCUUCUGUAGACCACACCACCAGUACUACCUUUUUGGGCUUCAUUCUCUUGCCCGGUAGCACACAGAUAGACUCCAACCUGGUUAUGGCAGUUAGGGACUGGCCAAACCUGGAUAACAGAAAGCAGCUCCAGCGCUUCCUGGGGUUUGCGAACUUUUAUUGCAAUUUCAUCGCGGCUUCAGCACUGUCGCUGCCCCUACACAGGCUAACCUCCACACUCCAAGCCUUCAGCUGGAAUCCUGAAGCUGAGCCAGCUUUCACCAGACUCAAGGGCCUCUUCAUGACAGUCCCCAUCCUGGCUCUCCCCGACCCAAACCAGCAGUUUAUUGUGGAGGUGGAUGCAUCCGAUAUCAGCAUGGGGGCCAUUCUGUCUCAGCAAUCCGUCAAAGACUGUGCUUUCUUCUCAAGGAGCCUCAGUCCGGCUGAACAGAAAUAUCCUAUAGGUGAACGGAAACUCUUGGCAGUCAAGUUGGCCCUGGAGAAAUGGCGGCACUGGUUGGAGGGUGCUGGGCAGCCCUUGCUAGUGUGGACGGACCACCAGAAACUUGAAUAUCUUUGCUUGGACAAAUGUCUGAAUUCCAGGCAAGCCUGUUGGGGUCUUUUCUUUGGACAUUUUAAUUUCACCCUGUCCUACCACCGGACGCUCUGUCUUGGCAAUUCAUCAUGGAGGAUGAUGGAGACCCUGUUGUGGAACAUAUACUUCCUUCCUCUGUCAUGGUCUGAGCCCUUUGCCUUGAUAUUUAGAGGAGGGUCUAGCAGGCCACCUCCAGUCUUCCAGUUCCAGAGGUCUGUCCAGAGGGAAGGUACUGCCUGCACCUUGUCAGUCCUCCAGCAGCGCUUCUGGUGGCCUAAGAUAAGGAAGGAUGUCCAGGAGUUUGUGGCGGCAUGUCCUGUUUUCUCUCAGCAUAAGACCCCCAGCUGGCUUGCUCUGUCCUCUUCCUGUUCACAGGCAGCCCUUGUCUCACGUCUCCAUAGACUUUGUUACUGGCUUACCACCAUCCUCUCUGUGGUGGAUCGACCACAACUCCCUGCCUUAGGCUGCCAUGGGCCUCUCCCCCUUCUAGGCCCCGUAUGGAUACAAGCCUCCACUGUUCUCCAAACAGAAGAAUGGAGGCCUCAGUUCCCUCUGCCCUUGCCUUGGUCAAGCGUUGCCAGCAUGUCUGGAGAAAGGCUCGUGUGGUUCUACUCUGUACUUCUAGGAGCUACGCCCAGUGGGCCAAUUGCAAGCACCGUCCGGCACCCCAUAUCGUGUUGGUCAGAGGGUUUGGCUAUCCACCAGAGACCUGCUGCUUAAGGUUGCCUGCAGGAAACUUGCCCCACGCUUUGUUGGGCCUUUUUCCUUCUCCAUGGUGCUCAAUCCAGUGUUAGUCAGACUCAAGCUCCCCAGAGUCCUACGUAUUCACCCUGUUCAAAACCCUCUUCAGAAAGUUCAAGCCUGCUUGCUGGUUCUGCACUGUUGUUCCUGUUCUGUCCUGCCUGGUUUGACUCUGUUUGUUUCUGGUUUCUGUGUUUUUGCUUUGCUUUGUCAGAUUAUUGGACUGUUUUUCACUCUGUGUUUUUUGCCUGUCCUGUAUUUUUUGCAUGCCUCUGUACUGGAUUACAGGCUGGUCUUUAAACUGAGUGUUUGCCUGCCUUGCCUGAUUAUUUUGUCAAGCUCAUUAAAUACUUUUUAUUAUUUACAUCAGCAUCCUGCAUUUGAGUCCUCCCUUCCGGCCCACACUCACAGAGCCAUUGUGUCCAUAAAAAACUCCAGCGCAUUCUCAAAGAUCCUCAGUGAUGGAUGCUUUUAUUUGAGGGUAUAAUGUAUAUAGUUGUAGGGUUUGGAGUAAUUUAUCUAUUGUGUCGUCAACGAGGACGGAAUCAAGGAUUCAGCUCGCAAUGGAGAAAAAUAGGAUAUUUAUGCUGCACUGU